GAGUUUGAUCCUGGCUCAGAACGAAUGCUGGCGGCGUGUUUAAGACAUGCAAGUCGCACGGAAUGAACCGAGUAGUAAUACCUGGUGAUUUUAGUGGCGCACGGGUGAGUAACACGUGAAUUACAUGCCCUUCAGUGGGGAAUAGCCCAGGGAAACUUGGAUUAAUGCCCCAUAGUCUCGCAAGAGUAAAGGUGGCCGCAAGGCUGUCGCUGAAGGAUUGGUUCGCGCCCUAUCAGCUUGUUGGUGAGGUAACGGCUCACCAAGGCUACGACGGGUACCUGGUCUGAGAGGACGAUCAGGCACACUGGAACUGAGACACGGUCCAGACACCUACGGGUGGCAGCAGUCGAGAAUAAUUCACAAUGGACGAAAGUCUGAUGGUGCAACGCCGCGUGGAGGAUGACGGUCUUAGGAUUGUAAACUCCUGUCAUCCGGGAGAAAGACUUGGGAGUUAAUAGCUCACAGGGUUGAUAGUACCGGAAGAGGAAGGGACGGCUAACUUCGUGCCAGCAGCCGCGGUAAUACGAAGGUCCCAAGCGUUGUUCGGAAUCACUGGGCGUAAAGGGAGCGUAGGCGGCGCGGUAAGUCGGAUGUGAAAUCCCGAGGCUCAACCUCGGAACUGCAUCUGAUACUGCCGUGCUAGAGUAAUGGAGGGGUAGCUGGAAUUCUCGGUGUAGCAGUGAAAUGCGUAGAUAUCGAGAGGAACACUCGUGGCGAAAGCGAGCUACUGGACAUUUACUGACGCUGAGGCUCGAAGGCUAGGUAGCAGUAAACGGUGCACGCUUGGUGUGAGGGGAUUCGACCCCCCUUGUGCCGGAGCUAACGCGUUAAGCGUGCCGCCUGGGAAGUACGGUCGCAAGACUAAAACUCAAAGAAAUUGACGGGGACCCGCACAAGCGGUGGAGUAUGUGGCUUAAUUCGAUGCAACGCGAAGAACCUUACCUAGGCUUGACAUGCAUCUCUAAGCACGUGAAAGCGUGUGACCCUUCGGGGGAUUUGCACAGGUGCUGCAUGGCCGUCGUCAGCUCGUGUCGUGAGAUGUUGGGUUAAGUCCCGCAACGAGCGCAACCCUUGUGAUUAGUUGCCAGCACGUAAUGGUGGGAACUCUAGUCAGACUGCCCAGAUCAACUGGGAGGAAGGUGGGGACGACGUCAGGUCAGUAUGGCCCUUACGCCUAGGGCUGCACACGUACUACAAUGCUCAGUACAAUUAGAACCGAUACCGCGAGGUGGAGGAAAUCUGUAAAACUGGGCUCAGUUCGGAUUGGAGGCUGCAACUCGCCUCCAUGAAGUUGGAAUCGCUAGUAAUGGGGCAUCAUCUACGGCCCCGUGAAUACGUUCCCGGGUCUUGUACACACCGCCCGUCACAUCAUGGAAGCCGGUAGCACCCGAAGUAUUGUUCAAUCAAUCCUAAGGUGAAGCUGGUAACUGGGAUGAAGUCGUAACAAGGUAGCCGUAGGGGAACCUGCGGCUGGAUAACCUCCUUUCU
rnacentral:rRNA from 1 species